GGGUUGUGAGGUUAAGCGACUAAGCGUACACGGUGGAUGCCCUGGCAGUCAGAGGCGAUGAAGGGCGUGCUAAUCUGCGAUAAGCGCCGGUAAGGUGAUAUGAACCGUUAUAACCGGCGAUACCCGAAUGGGGAAACCCAGUGUGAUUCGUCACACUAUCAUUAACUGAAUCCAUAGGUUAAUGAGGCGAACCGGGGGAACUGAAACAUCUAAGUACCCCGAGGAAAAGAAAUCAACCGAGAUUCCCCCAGUAGCGGCGAGCGAACGGGGAGGAGCCCAGAGCCUGAAUCAGCAUGUGUGUUAGUGGAAGCGUCUGGAAAGGCGCGCGAUACAGGGUGACAGCCCCGUACACAAAAGCGCAUGUGCUGUGAGCUCGAUGAGUAGGGCGGGACACGUGGUAUCCUGUCUGAAUAUGGGGGGACCAUCCUCCAAGGCUAAAUACUCCUGACUGACCGAUAGUGAACCAGUACCGUGAGGGAAAGGCGAAAAGAACCCCGGCGAGGGGAGUGAAAAAGAACCUGAAACCGUGUACGUACAAGCAGUGGGAGCCCCACCACCAAAGCAUUUGCUGUACCGCGUUGACGGAGCGAAGCGACGUCAAACCGAUAAAACAGCAGUGUAAAGUGAGCC
rnacentral:rRNA from 1 species